rnacentral:pre_miRNA from 1 species
CGGGGGAGGCCGGAUCCGGGCUGUGUCCCGGCGCCCUGUGCUCCGGGGCCUGCGCUGUUGGAUUCGCGCUCCCGCCCCCGCAGCCCCCU